UACAUGGGGUGCAAACGUUGCUCGGAAUCAUUGGGCGUAAAGCGCGCGUAGGCGGUUAUCUAAGUCGGAUGUGAAAGCCCUCGGCUUAACUGAGGAAGUGCAUCCGAAACUGAAUAGCUAGAGUACGAAAGAGGGUCGCGGAAUUCCCGGUGUAGAGGUGAAAUUCGUAGAUAUCGGGAGGAACACCGGUGGCGAAGGCGGCGACCUGGGUCGAGACUGACGCUGAGGCGCGAAAGCGUGGGGAGCGAACAGG
rnacentral:rRNA from 1 species